CGUACGGGAGGCAGCAGUGGGGAAUAUUGCACAAUGGGCGGAAGCGUGAUGCAGCAACCCCGCGUGCGGGAUGACGGCCUUCGGGUUGUAAACCGCUUUCACCCAUGACGAAGUUUUUUUGACGGUAGUGGGAGAAGAAGCACCGGCUAACUACGUGCCAGCAGCCGCGGUGAUACGUAGGGUGCGAGCGUUGUCCGGAUUUAUUGGGCGUAAAGAGCUYGUAGGCGGUUGGUUGMGUCAGGAGUGAAAACUCGGGGCUUAACUCCGAGCUUGCUUUUGAUACGGGAUGACUUGAGGGAAGUAGGGGAGAAUGGAAUUCCUGGUGAAGCGGUGGAAUGCGUAGAUAUCAGGAGGAACACCGGUGGCGAAGGCGGUUYUCUGGACUUUUCCUGACGCUGAGAAGSGAAAGCGUGGGGAGCAAACAGGCUUAGAUUCCCUGGUAGUUCCCGCUGUAAACGGUGGGUACUAGGUGUGGGGGACAUUCCACGUUCUCCGUGCCGUAGCUAACGCCUUAAUUUCCCGCCC
rnacentral:rRNA from 1 species